rnacentral:pre_miRNA from 1 species
UACAUACUCCCUCCGUUCCGAAUUACUUGUCGCACGUAUGGAUGUAUCUAGAUGUAUUUUAAUUUUAGAUACAUCCAUUUCAGCGACGAGUAAUUUGGAACGGAGGGAGUAUAUA